CAGUCGCCACGGUAAUACGAGGGGGGCAAGCGUUGUUCGGAAUUAUUGGGCGUAAAGGGCGCGUAGGCGGUUUGGCAAGUUUGGCGUGAAAUCUUCGGGCUCAACUCGAAGUCUGCACCGAAAACUGCCGGGCUUGAGUAUGGGAGAGGUGAGUGGAAUUUCCGGUGUAGCGGUGAAAUGCGUAGAUAUCGGAAGGAACACCUGUGGCGAAAGCGGCUCACUGGACCAUUACUGACGCUGAGGCGCGAAAGCUAGGGGAGCAAACAGGAUUAGAUACCCCAGUAGUCCCUGUCUCUUAUAC
rnacentral:rRNA from 1 species